UACAGAGGGUGCAAGCGUUGUUCGGAAUUAUUGGGCGUAAAGGGCGCGUAGGCGGUGCGGUAAGUCUGAUGUGAAAUCUCCGGGCUCAACUCGGAGUCUGCAUCAGAAACUGCCGUGCUCGAGUGUGGGAGAGGUGAGUGGAAUUCCCGGUGUAGCGGUGAAAUGCGUAGAUAUCGGAAGGAACACCAGUGGCGAAAGCGGCUUCCUGGUCCAGCACCGACAUUCAGGCACGAAAGCGUGGGGAGCAAACAGG
rnacentral:rRNA from 1 species